rnacentral:lncRNA from 1 species
GAAAUAUUAGCGUAGCAGUUAGCUGUUAUAAUAUUAAAUAAUUAUUUGGCUGAAUCAAAAUGCUCAACAGCCGAAUAUAGCAUUCAUCUUCUAAGUGAACCUCUACACAAUUAGUUUGUUGUCUCUACUGAAAUUAUAUAGUCUUUAAUUAAUUCUAUAAAAUAAAGUUUUUAUAUUUUUGUAAUACUGAACCAAGCUAGACUAAACAUAAAAUUAGUAAUUGACUUCAGUUAUUUUAAUUAAAUACCAACUACACCAAAUUAUAUUAAAAAUUUAUUUUAAAAAUAAAAAGAAAAUUCCAAAUCACAAUUAUACAAUAAAAAAAGAUCAACCGUGAGGAAAGUGGAAGAAUUGGUGAGGGUGUGGGAGAUUUUAAGCUUGGAAAAGUGAGUGUGGCAGGAGAAGCUUGGUGGGUCUGAAAUUGAAAAUGAGAAUGCUGCAUCUUGAUACACAAUAAUACAAAUAGAUUAAGAAAAUAGAAGUAAAAAUAAAAUGAGAAUUUACGUAGAUAUUCAUAUCAAUAAUGUAUUGAAGAAAAAAUUACUACGGAUUUCUGAAUUUUAAUAAAAUUUAUUAGCUAAUUUUAAAAAUUAUAGAUCUAAUUAAAAUGUUCCUAAUAUUUUUAAAAUGUAACAAUUACAUCUUUAUGUUAAGAAUUUCGGUAAUCAAAAGGUAAAUUUAACGGUAAAAUGAGAGAGAAUACUUUAAAAUUACAAAAUUAAUCUCAGUACUCUUAUAAAAUUAAUCUUAUAUCCAAAUUCAUUCAAAUAUCCAGAUUCAUUCAUUCAUAAAAAUAGCAAUUGCAUCAAAACCAUAUUCAAUAGCAACUGCAUCAAAACCAUAUUCAUUCAUUGAGAUGGAAAGAAGACAUACUUAUCAAAAAGGAGCGGAAGAAACCUUAACAGAGGAAGGAAGCAGAAUGAGCAAUGAGGAGCGAGUUAGGAGAGAAGAGAAUCGUACGGUGGAGCGAGUUAAUAGCAACGAGUCGAGUCGAGCCGAGUCAUCAUCAUCAGAGUUGGUUGCUUUUUCAAUUGAGAUUGUAGCUGUUAAGGCGGUGGCGGUUGCUGAAGAAGCGGAGUCAUCGCUGGGGAAGAGUCAGCGAGUUGUUGUUGAUGGUAGAUUCCUUGCAUCAUCGACACUGUUGUUUCUACGGCUGUGGAUUUGCAUCUCUUUUUGCUCUGUUCAAUCCUCUAUGCGGUAUUUGACUUUUCUUUGCUUUCAUUUGUUGCUUUACUUGCUCUGUUUUAUCGCCGGAAAAUGAAAUCAGAGAACUAUAGUGUGGAAUGAGAGAACCACAGGGAGGGAGAGAGAAUAGUUUAUGCAUUUAGGGAUUAGGUGAUGGUAUUUGAUUUUUCAUGUGUAUUUGACGAAGUAUCUCAACGAUUA